UGCAGGAACUGGUGAAAAUACAACGUAUACCCUUCACCACGUAUACAAGGAUUGCGCUAUUGUAAACAAGACAAAGAAUACAAAAAGAGAAGGUUACAAGCAAGUAUGUGAAGUGUGGGUGAACGAUCAGUUCUUUGACAGAAACACCGACGGCCUCAGAUUUUGCACAGCGAAUUUCUGGAAGUACUGCAAACCCCAUACCCCAAAACAAUACUUUAUUUCCGAGUGUGACGAAAGAAUUGGCAAAGUUAUUUUAGUCUAAUGAGCAAGGUCACGAACUCAUAGUAAAUAAUAUGAGUAAGUCUUUUUGUGAGCAAUAUCUCAAUAAAAUAAUAUGAAGCGUCGA